GGGUCUCAUUCCACGAGAUCCGUGCCGCAGCUAACGCAUUAAGUUCCCCGCCUGGGGAGUACGGCCGCAAGGCUAAAACUCAAAGGAAUUGACGGGGGCCCGCACAAGCGGCGGAGCAUGUGGAUUAAUUCGAUGCAACGCGAAGAACCUUACCAAGGCUUGACAUAUACCGGAAACAUCCAGAGAUGGGUGCCCCGCAAGGUCGGUAUACAGGUGGUGCAUGGUUGUCGUCAGCUCGUGUCGUGAGAUGUUGGGUUAAGUCCCGCAACGAGCGCAACCCUCGUUCUAUGUUGCCAGCACGUAAUGGUGGGGACUCAUAGGAGACUGCCGGGGUCAACUCGGAGGAAGGUGGGGAUGAGGUCAAAUCAUCAUGCCCCUUAUGUCUUGGGCUUCACACAUGCUACAAUGGCCGGUACAAAGGGCUGCGAAACCGCAAGGUGGAGCGAAUCCCAAAAAACCGGUCUCAGUUCGGAUUGGGGUCUGCAACUCGACCCCAUGAAGUUGGAGUCGCUAGUAAUCGCAGAUCAGCAACGCUGCGGUGAAUACGUUCCCGGGCCUUGUACACACCGCC
rnacentral:rRNA from 1 species